GGUCCGUUGGCCCAAUGGCAAGGCGUCUGACUACGACUCUAAACUCGCGAUCAGGAGAUUACAGGUUCGAUCCCUGUACGGAUCA